rnacentral:rRNA from 1 species
UACAGAGGGUGCGAGCGUUAAUCGGAAUUACUGGGCGUAAAGCGUGCGUAGACGGUUAUUUAAGUCGGAUGUGAAAGCCCCGGGCUCAACCUGGGAAUUGCAUUCGAGACUGAAUAGCUAGGGUACGGUAGAGGGAAGUGGAAUUUCCGGUGUAGCGGUGAAAUGCGUAGAUAUCGGAAGGAACACCAGUGGCGAAAGCGACUUCCUGGUCCAAUACUGACGUUCAUGUGCGAAAGCGUGGGGAGCAAACAGG